CAGCCGCCGCGGUAAUACGUAGGUGGCAAGCGUUGUCCGGAAUUAUUGGGCGUAAAGCGCGCGCAGGCGGUCCUUUAAGUCUGUUGUGAAAGCCCCCGGCUCAACCGGGGAGGGUCAUUGGAAACUGGGGGACUUGAGUGCAGGAGAGGGAAGUGGAAUUCCACGUGUAGCGGUGAAAUGCGUAGAGAUGUGGAGGAACACCAGUGGCGAAGGCGGCUUCCUGGCCUGUAACUGACGCUGAGGCGCGAAAGCGUGGGGAGCAAACAGGAUUAGAUACCCUGGUAGUCCACGCCGUAAACGAUGAGUGCUAAGUGUUAGGGGGUUUCCGCCCCUUAGUGCUGCAGCUAACGCAUUAAGCACUCCGCCUGGGGAGUACGGCCGCAAGGCUGAAACUUAAAGGAAUUGGCGGG
rnacentral:rRNA from 1 species